GGCAGCACGGGGGCAACCCUGGUGGCGAGUGGCGAACGGGUGAGUAAUGCAUCGGAACGUGUCUUCGAGUGGGGGAUAACGCACCGAAAGGUGUGCUAAUACCGCAUAAUCUCUACGGAGAAAAGCAGGGGAUCGCAAGACCUUGCGCUCUUGGAGCGGCCGAUGUCUGAUUAGCUAGUUGGUGAGGUAAAGGCUUACCAAGGCGACGAUCAGUAGCUGGUCUGAGAGGACGACCAGCCACACUGGGACUGAGACACGGCCCAGAAUUCCUACGGGAGGCAGCAGUGGGGAAUUUUGGACAAUGGGGGAAACCCUGAUCCAGCCAUGCCGCGUGAGUGAAGAAGGCCUUCGGGUUGUAAAGCUCUUUCAGCCGGAACGAAACGGUCACGGCUAAUACCUGUGACUACUGACGGUACCGGAAGAAGAAGCACCGGCUAACUACGUGCCAGCAGCCGCGGUAAUACGUAGGGUGCAAGCGUUAAUCGGAAUUACUGGGCGUAAAGCGUGCGCAGGCGGUUUUGUAAGUCAGAUGUGAAAUCCCCGGGCUUAACCUGGGAACUGCGUUUGAAACUACAAGGCUAGAGUGUGGCAGAGGGGGGUGGAAUUCCACGUGUAGCAGUGAAAUGCGUAGAGAUGUGGAGGAACACCGAUGGCGAAGGCAGCCCCCUGGGUUAACACUGACGCUCAGGCACGAAAGCGUGGGGAGCAAACAGGAUUAGAUACCCUGGUAGUCCACGCCCUAAACGAUGUCAACUAGUUGUCGGGUCUUAACGGACUUGGUAACGCAGCUAACGCGUGAAGUUGACCGCCUGGGGAGUACGGUCGCAAGAUUAAAACUCAAAGGAAUUGACGGGGACCGCACAAGCGGUGGAUUAUGUGGAUUAAUUCGAUGCAACGCGAAAAACCUUAACCUACCCUUGACAUGUGCCGAAGCCCGCUGAGAGGUGGGUGUGCCCGAAAGGGAGCGGCAACACAGGUGCUGCAUGGCUGUCGUCAGCUCGUGUCGUGAGAUGUUGGGUUAAGUCCCGCAACGAGCGCAACCCUUGUCAUUAAUUGCCAUCAUUCAGUUGGGCACUUUAAUGAAACUGCCGGUGACAAACCGGAGGAAGGUGGGGAUGACGUCAAGUCCUCAUGGCCCUUAUGGGUAGGGCUUCACACGUAAUACAAUGGCGCGUACAGAGGGUUGCCAACCCGCGAGGGGGAGCUAAUCUCAGAAAGCGCGUCGUAGUCCGGAUCGGAGUCUGCAACUCGACUCCGUGAAGUCGGAAUCGCUAGUAAUCGCGGAUCAGCAUGUCGCGGUGAAUACGUUCCCGGGUCUU
rnacentral:rRNA from 1 species